rnacentral:lncRNA from 1 species
UUCUCAUAAAUUUUCCUUUCCCUUAUUCCAUUUCCCCUUCGCAUCCCACCACCCCUACACCUUUGGAACUUUUCCUAUUUCAAAUUAUCAAUUAUUCAUUUUAAUCAUUUUAAUCCUUAUUUACACUUUCAGUUUCUCACACUAGAGAAACUAUUUCAUAUGGCUAGUGAUAUUGGUAGGAAAUUUUUUCAUAAUAAGUGUAUGAGUUGAUCAUACCGGAAUCGGGGGUAUGAGGCUCGGAUUCAUAGGAAUAAGGAGGUUAGUAUGAGGGUUUUAAUUGUGAAGUAUAUUGUAAAAUUUUCUGGGUUGGUGGAUAUUGGGGAUGUGUUGAUAAAGAUAAUGGUGGUCAGGGCAUUUAUUAUAAUGAUAUUAAUGUAUUCUGCUAUGAAGAAUAGUGCGAAGGGUCCUGCUGCGUAUUCUACGUUGAAUCCAGAGACUAAUUCUGAUUCUCCUUCGGCUAGGUCGAAUGGGGCUCGGUUGGUUUCUGCUAGGGUUGAGAUAAAUCAUAUUAUGGCUAGGGAGACUUCGUAAGAGAUUGUUUGGGCUACGGCUCGUAGUGCUCCUAGUAAGGCGUACUUGGAGUUUGAUGCUCAUCCUGACCAUAGGAUUGAGUAUACAGCUAGGCUUGAGGUUGCUAGGAUAAAUAGGAUUCCUAGGUUUAUAUUGAUGAGAGGGUGGGGUAUGGGGAGGGGGAUUCAUAUGGAUAGGGCUAGGGUUAGGGCGAGUAUGGGGGCGAUGAUAAAUAAUGAGAUGGAUGAGGCUGAUGGCUUUAAUGGCUCUUUAAUGAAUAGUUUUAGAGCGUCCGCGAUUGGCUCUCUUCAGUCUUAGUUUAGUGCAUGGUGAUAGGUAUGUGUCUAGUUUUAAUCUUUGGCAGGUUGAAAUCCAGUUUUUCCAACACCAUUUAUUAAAUAGGCUCUCUUUCCUCCAAUGAGGGUGGUUGGCUCCUUUGUCAAAGAUGAAGUGGCUGAGUAUGUUUGGAAUUGUUUCUGCAUCUUCUAAUCUAUUGCACUGAUCCUCGGAUCUUGACAGAUUCAGUAGAGUAGCUGGAUACAAGGUCAACACUCAAAAAACAAUAGCCUUCUUAUACACAAAUAGCUGACUCAUUGAGAGAGAAAUUUGGGAAAUAAUUUCUUUUACAAUAGCAUUUAAAAAAUGAAAUAUCUAGGAAUCAACCUAACAAAGGAAGCAAAAGACCUCUACACUGAAAACUACAGCACUCUGAAAAAAGAGAUUGAAGAGGAUACAAGAAAAUGGAAAAACAUCCCUUGUUCCUGGGUAGGAAGAACCAAUAUAGUGAAAAUGGCAGUACUUCCAAUACUACUAUACAGAUUUAAUGCAAUGCUUAUUGAAAUUCCAACAAUGUACUUCACAGAC